rnacentral:rRNA from 1 species
UACGUAGGCAGCGAGCGUUGUUCGGAGUUACUGGGCGUAAAGGGUGUGUAGGCGGUUCUUUAAGUUUGGUGUGAAAUCUCCCGGCUCAACCGGGAGGGUGCGCCGAAUACUGAGGGACUAGAGUACGGGAGAGGAAAGUGGAAUUCCUGGUGUAGCGGUGAAAUGCGUAGAUAUCAGGAGGAACACCGGUGGUGUAGACGGCUUUCUGGACUGCAACUGACACUGAGGAACGAAAGCCAGGGGAGCAAACGGG